ACUACAAGUAUGAAAUAUAAACUAACCUGCAGCAGUCAUAGAUGAAGCCAUGAUCAAACACGUAGUAGACCUUCUCCUCUCUGUCAAAACCAAUAAUACUCAAACUAACAAUAGGCCUUAGUUCAAUAAUGAGCGUAUGUUUUGUGAGAGCAGAGGCUACUAUUUAUACACAAUCAAUCCAUGUAAUUCUCCUAUUAGAAUCCUUAUUCAAUACUGAAUAAGUUUACCUUAUUGUAUACAAAGUGUUAAACCCAGUUUUCAUACUUUCAUUCAAUCCUUCACAAAUAAGGAUUAAGUAUACCUUUUUACAUUGGGACUUUUCUAUACGGAUCUGAAACAAAUAGCAGGCCUUAGGAAUUAUAAUCAUGAUCAUAUUCUUACAUUCUCCCACUUGAUCAUGACCUAAAACCAUCGCACAACAAUUCAGAUCAUUAUAGAAGUGAUCACUAAAUCUCAAUGAAAAAUUACUUCAUCACAAACAAUCUAUCAAUGCAUUUCAAAGUACUGAAUCCAGAAAUUCACUCUUGAUACAAUACAGAGCUAAUUUCAAAAUCACAGGUACUCAAUCUGCACCUUUGUAACAUUGUGAACCAACUGAUUAAAGACAAACUCAAAACAAGUUUGCUCCCACUUUUGAAGCCAAAACAUUUAAUAUCAACACAUGAUAUCAAAUCGUAAUCAUCUCAAUAUUCAAACCACUUGAAUAACAUGAUUCAUAAUCCAAGUAAUUACUUAAACCAAAAUCUCGAAAGAUCAUAAGCAAUACUAUGAACAACACUUUAUAAUUCAGCCAACUGCUUUAUCAAAUCAAAAACUGACUUUAAAGCAUUGUAAGAACCAUAAAACAAAAUUUUGUCUUCUAGAACAAUUAAUCACAGAUAAUCUGGAAAAAUUGAACCCAAAUGAAAACAUUCGAUUAUUCAAAACUAGCUAAAACAUAAAACUAGUUGAAACAAAAUAAUUGAAACAAAACUAACUAAUAAACCUACAAAGAUGUCAUCACCUUCAAUACUUCUGUACCAGCAACUACUCCCACUGAUCAAAAGAUUCCAGCACUCCCAUUCGAGUAACAUGAGCUUUGAAGACUCCAAUUGGUAAAGCUUUAGUCAAAGGAUCUGCAACCAUGAGAUUUGUACUCAGAUGUUGCACUUCUAUAGUUCAUUUCUUUACCAUCUCCCGAACUUUCAGGAAUUUUACAUCCAUCAGUCUACUAGCAGAAGUCCUCUUAUUGUUUUUAGAGAAAAACACAGCUGAAGUGUUGUCACAAAACAUCUUUAUCUGCUUUUGAAUUGAAUCGAUUAACUUCAACUCACUUAUGAAAUUCUUGAGCCAAUUAGCUUGCUUGCUGCCUUCAAAACAGGGUACAAAUUCUGCUUCCAUGGUGGAUGUUGUUAUGAUAGACUGCUUAGAACUUUUCCAUGAAAUAGCUCCACCUCCAAGCAUAAAGACAUAACCUCCAGUGGAUUUUCUUUCAUCUAAGUCUCCAGCUAGAUCUGAAUCAGUAUAUCCAGUGACUUCUAGAUGUGGAUUUCUGCCAUAUACGAGCAUGAACAACUUGGUCCGUUGCAGAUAUCUCAAUACCUUCUUUGCCGCAGUCCAAUGAGCUUCACCUGGAUUUGAUUGAAACCUACCCAAGAUGCCAACAAUGAAGGCAAUAUCAGGUCUCGUACAAACAUUUGCAUACAUCAAACUACCCACCAAAGAGGCAUAAGGUUUGUCUCUCAUCUUUUCCUCUUCAAUUUUACUCUUGGGACAUUGUGCUCUGGUGAAUAUGUCACCUUUAUUGACAGGAACGUGGCCUCCUUUGCAAUGCUCCAUGUUGAACCGAGUUAGCACUCUAUCAAUAUAGCCCUUUUGAGAUAAACCCAAGAGUCUUCGCUUUCUGUCUCUCACAAUCUCUAUUCCAAGAACAUAGUGUGCUUCACCAAGGUCCUUCAUUUCAAAAUUAACACUAAGCAUGGACUUAGUGUUCUGCAGUAAUUGAGAACUAGAACUAGCCAAUAGUAUGUCAUCGACAUAUAGCAUCAUUAUAAUGAAAUUUGAUCCACUGAACUUGAUAUAGAUGCAAUCGUCUAACUUAUUUUCAGUGAAACCAUGAGCUGUAACUACUUGAUCAAAUUUGAGAUACCAUUGCCUUGAAGCUUGUUUGAGACCAUAAAUUGACUUAUUUAAUUUACAAACCAUAUCUUCCUUCCCCCUUUCAACAAAUCCAAUCGGCUGCCUCAUAUAAAUAUCUUCUUGUAGCUCUCCAUUAAGGAAAGCCGUCUUGACAUCCAUCUGAUGCAGCUCCAAAUCGAAAUGUGCAGUCAAAGCCAUUAUGACCCUCAUGGAAUCUUUUGAUGAAACAGGUGAAAAAGUAUCGUUAUAGUCAAUACCUUCUCUUUGAGUGAACCCUUUUGCAACUAAUCGAGCUUUGUAUCUUUCAACUCUACCUUGAGAGUCUCUUUUGGUUUUAUAAACCCACUUACAACCUAUAGGCUUGAUUUUGGAAUCAGAUUCGACCAAUGUCCAGACUUUGUUUUUGUUCAUCGAUUCCAAUUCCUCCUUCAUUGCAUUGGUCCAUAAGAUUGAUUGGGAGCUCUCUAUAGCUUGAUUGUAGGUGAUGGGAUCAUCAAUAUCACCUAUGUCAUACUCAGAUUCUUGCAAAUAGACAUAAUCAUUUGAUAUGGCUGACUUCUUUGUUCUUGUCGAUUUUCUUAAUUCUGGUUCAGCUCGAGGUGCUUCUGAACUGUCAACUUGCCGUUGUGUUUGCACAACAUGGUCUUCCAGCCGAGUCUGUUCAGAUGUAGUUUCUGUUUCAAGUCCACAAUCUACCAUUUGAUGAUCUUCUUAUUCAUUUGGACUAAUCUGUUGUGGGAAUAUGGGAAGAAUCUUGUAAUUUUCUGCAGGAGAGACAUAUUCAUCUGAGAUUUGUUCCUCAAAAUUAAAUUCUUCUUGAUUCAGAUCUGCCACAUCUUGGUCUUCUAGAAAAACAGCAUUGUGUGACUCUUGAAUUCUUGAAUGAGCUUGUGGAUCAUAAAACUUGAACCCUUUGGACUUUUCGCAGUAGCCAACAAAAUAGCAAGACUGAGUUCUUGCAUCUAAUUUCUUCUCAUGUGGAUUAUAGAACCUUGCUUCAGCCUUGCAGCCCCAAACAUGAAAGUAAUCAAAAUUUGGUUUUCUUCCAGUCCAAAUUUCAAAAGGGAUUUGUGAAACAGCUUUGGUUGGCACCCUGUUGAGUAUAUAAGUUGCUGUUUUGAGUGCUUCUCCCCAUAAGAAUGCUGGAAGUUUAGCUCUAGACACCAUGCUCUCACCAUCCCAAUCAAAGUUAUGUUCCUCCUUUCUGAUACUCCAUUCUGUUGUGGCGUUCCAGGUGUCGUGUAUUGUGCCACAAUGCCAUGUUUCUCCAGAUAAAGAGCAAAAGGUCCUUUCUGUUGACCUGCCUCAGUAUACCUGCCAAAAUACUCUCCUCCCCUAUCCGAUCUAACAAUUUUAAUAGUUCUAUUUAAUUGUCUCUCAACCUCAGUUUUAAAAAUUAUGAAGCAACUAAGGACGGCUGAUUUUUCACUAAUGAGAUAAGUAAAACUGAAUCUUGAGAAGUCAUCAAUAAAAUUCACAAAAUAGUUGUUUCCACAUAUAGUUUUAACUGGAAAAGGACCACAUACAUCAGUGUGUAUGAUUUCAAGCAGAUUUUGACUCCUCCUAGCUUCUAAUUUUCUAGUAUUAGUCAAUUUCCCUUUCAAACAAUCAACACAUUCACUUUUGGUUUGAAAAUCAAAUGAGGGAAUCAAAUUGGAUUUAGAUAAUUGUAAGAUUCUCUCUUUCGAAAUGUGUCCCAACCUUUUGUGCCACAAAAUGUAAGAAUUUUCAAAAUCAUGCAUCCUUUUGGUGUUUACAUUUAAAACAUGCACAUAAUCCUUUUCAAGAGAACAAUCCAUUUGCCAAAGGUUGUCACGUAAAUAAGCUUUUCCCAAAACUGAGUCCAAAUUAUUCUUUUGAAAAAACUUUAUGCCCUCAUCAUCCCCAAGAAAAACCAAAUUCUGUUUAGUUAGUUUUGAUGCAGAAACUAGGUUCCUUCUCAUUGUAGGCACAAAAAGUACAUCAUUUAGUUCAAGUAUAAAACCAGAAGAUAAUUUUAGUUUCACUUUCCCUAUAGCUUCUACAGCAACCUUAGUCCCUUCCCCAACAAAAACACUAUAAUUCAUUUUAUUUGUUUGUUUUUGUUUUUCAAAACCAUGCAAUGUAUUUGUGAUAUGAACUGAUGCUCCAGUAUCAAACCACCAAGAUUUAGCAGGAAUUUCAACCAAGUUAGACUCCUCACAUACAUAGACAUCAAUAUUACCCUUACUCCUCAGCCAAUCCUUAAAAGCUUCACAAUCUUUUCUAAUAUGACCUUUGGUUUUGCAAAAGAAACAUUUAAGCUUAGUUAUAUCUUUAAUUUUAACUUUAAGAUUGUCAGAUUUCAUAGAGGAUUGAGCAUAUUUAGCAGGCAUACCAGAUUUAGAGACAUUAUCAUAAGAUUUAGAGUUCUUACUUGGAUUAAAUCCGCCACCCUUCUUGCUCUUUCCUUUGGAUGCAUGUACAAGGUUUACUGCUUCAAUUUCCUUGCCCUUGUCUUGCUUCAGUCUUUUCUCUUCUUGGACACAUUGAGCAAUAAGCUCAUCAAGUGUCCAAAGAUUCCCUUGAGUGUUAUAUGAGACUUUCAGUUGACAAUAUUUAGCAGGGAGUGCUUGAAGCACCAUAAAAACCAGUUGAGUCUCUGAAAUAUGUACAUCCAUUGAGUUGAGUUUCUCGGCAGCAUCUGAGAGUUUCAGAAUAUGAUCCCUAAUUGAGCCAUUGCCCUCACACUUGUAAGUUGUCAAGAGUGACAUGUAAUGUCCAAUUUCAGCCUUCUGAGGUUCCUGGAACUUCUCUUCAAUAGCCUUGAAGUAAUCAACAGCAAGAUUAUGUUGUUUGAUACCUCCUCUAACAUGAUCAGUCAUGCCAGCCUCCAAAAUGGACAAUGUCAAUUUAUUUGAUCUCCACCACCUCUCGUGCUCUGCUUUCUCAGCCUUGGAACUUUUGUCAGUCAAUAAUGGGGGUUGUGGAUUGUCAAUUGCAAUGUCAAAUUCAUUGAGUGUCAGUAGCAACUUGAUCUCGCGUCUCCACUUCUUGAAAUUACUUCCACCAGUGAGAAUCGGAACACUUGCCAGAUUCAAGGUUUUCAGUGAAACUGCAGCAGAUCAGAAUGAAAUCAGUAAACAUGAACCAAUAGGUUCCUGAUUUCUCCACUGCUAGUUAAACUUUACAGAACAAAAUUUGAACCAAUUUGACCAUAUAUGUAGUCUCAAUGAUAAAGGAUACACAUAGAUCAGACAAUUCAAAAACUGUUUUUUUUUUUUUUUUUUUUUUCUUCGACCCAUCAAGCAAAACCAAUCAAUUAUUGGAGAUGUCUGGAUGCAAUGAUUUUAGUCAUCUUAAUUAAAAAUAGAUAAUUAAGAUCUCAACUUUUGGGAAAAUUAAGGAAUCACACGAUAACAUGGGGAUCAUAAUUAACAUAUAUGCAUUUUAAAUCCAAUUCAUACAAGUCUGUUGAGUUUUUAUUGCUUCUGAAUCUCAUAUAGUAUCAAUUAGAAUAAGGCACUCAGAUUCAAAAUCAUAGAGAAGUGCAGUAAACGAAAAAAUUUCACUUUAUCAUGAAUCAGCAAAGAUUGAAUCAGACGAUAAUGAAAACGAAACACAUACCAGUAAGUAUCCAGAUUGAAAACGAAGUAGUGCAGCGGAAGUAAUGAAUUAUUUGUAAUCUAGAUUGACUGCUCUUUAUGAACCCCAAUUCGAUCAGAAAACCCAGUUUUUCUGAACCCCAAAUUCGAAACGACGGCAACUUUAUUUUACCAAACAAACAUUCAACUUUGUUUUUUUUUAUUUUUUAUAAAGACAGCUCCGGGGUUCGAAACCUUUAGGAGCCCCUUUUAUUUUAUAAUUCGAGUUUUUUAACUAAAACUUUGGCUCUGAUACCACAUGUAAGAACCAUAAAGCCUCCUAGAAAUCUUAGUCCAGUUAAACAAACCACGAAUAAUCAAAACAAUUAAUAUACUACAAGUAUGAAAUAUAAACUAACCUGCAGCAGUCAUAGAUGAAGCCAUGAUCAAACACGUAGUAGACCUUCUCCUCUCUGUCAAAACCAAUAAUACUCAAACUAACAAUAGGCCUUAGUUCAAUAAUGAGCGUAUGUUUUGUGAGAGCAGAGGCUACUAUUUAUACACAAUCAAUCCAUGUAAUUCUCCUAUUAGAAUCCUUAUUCAAUACUGAAUAAGUUUACCUUAUUGUAUACAAAGUGUUAAAACCAGUUUUCAUACUUUCAUUCAAUCCUUCACAAAUAAGGAUUAAGUAUACCUUUUUACAUUGGGACUUUUCUAUACGGAUCUGAAACAAAUAGCAGGCCUUAGGAAUUAUAAUCAUGAUCAUAUUCUUACAG
rnacentral:lncRNA from 1 species